GAACGCUGGCGGCGGCCUAACACAUGCAAGUCGAGCGGUAACAGAACUAGCUUGCUAGUUGCUGACGAGCGGCGGACGGGUGCGUAACACGUAGGAAUCUGCCCGGUAGUGGGGGAUAGCCCGGAGAAAUCCGGAUUAAUACCGCAUACGCACUAGCUUUCUUAGGAGAGCGGUGGAAAGCAGGGGAUCUUCGGACCUUGCGCUAUUGGAUGAGCCUGCGUCGGAUUAGCUUGUUGGUGGGGUAAUGGCCUACCAAGGCGACGAUCCGUAGCUGAUCUGAGAGGAUGAUCAGCCACACUGGGACUGAGACACGGCCCAGACUCCUACGGGAGGCAGCAGUGGGGAAUAUUGCACAAUGGGCGAAAGCCUGAUGCAGCCAUGCCGCGUGUGUGAAGAAGGCUCUAGGGUUGUAAAGCACUUUCAGCGAGGAGGAAAGGUUGUACGUUAAUACCGUGCAGCUGUGACGUUACUCGCAGAAGAAGCACCGGCUAACUCCGUGCCAGCAGCCGCGGUAAUACGGAGGGUGCGAGCGUUAAUCGGAAUUACUGGGCGUAAAGCGUGCGUANGCGGCUGAUUAAGUUGGGUGUGAAAGCCCCGGGCUC
rnacentral:rRNA from 1 species